AGCCUAGCCAAGGCGGAACGUUGACCCGCAGAGGCGCCUGGUCGCGCCCAGGCGGUGGCUUUGCGGACGGCUAGCAGGUCCCGGCCAGCGGCGUGGAAGGUGAGCCGCGGGGAGCGGCCACGGACUCGGGGCCGAGACCCUCGCGCCAGGCCUGGGGACGGAGUGGGACCCGGGAGGGCGCUGCCGCCACCUUCGCAGGCUCCCUCCAGGAUGCCUGUCCCUCAGGCCCUCCUCGUGGCUUCAGCACCGCGACGGCCGCCCGGCCCUGCGCUGUCCUCGUUCUCCCGAGGGCGGGUCCUCCGCGGGGACUCUGCUCACAGCCGGGUGUGGUCUCGGCUCCAGGGUCCUGUCCAGGGCGGCGUGGCCGCAGCAGCCUCGCCUGGGACCCGGACUCCAGGUGAAGAGGAUGCCCGGCCAGCAGACGCCCUGCAGAGUGGAGGGCGACGGAGGAGGACCCUCCGCCAGGGCGAGGGAGGCCGCGUGGAGAGGAGCCGCCUCCAGUGUGGAAAUGUGAGAGCAAGUUGGUGACAUCUUUCAGCUGGAUACACUGCCCAAAGAAGACCUCAUAUGUGUGCCAAGAAGCCAGUGAUUCUACUGCAGAAAGCGCCAUGGAAAUGUACAGGAGGACAGUGCCUUCCAACACUUCCAUGCACCUGGAACCCAGGCAUCUGUUUCACUUCAAAAGAAGCAUUCAUGAUUAAUUUGAAGAGGGCAUGAGAAGAAAGAGCUGAGUUGCUGUGCAACCCAGCCUUGCAAAUAGGUUAGAAGAGAGAAGAGUUGCUUCAUGAGAUAUUAUGACAUUUUUCCUGAAAGUCCCACACACAGUGGGCAGGUGCUUGGAUCCUCUCCAAGCAAGUCUUCCAGCCUGAAACCAGAUGUGUACAGACUUUGGCUUGAAGGAUUUCAACUCCUAUAAGCCUUGGCUGCAGUUUUUCCUGCCCUUGAUGCAAAGGAAGAAAAAUGCAUUUGGCCCUGUGCUCAUCCUUCUCCCUCCAUGGUCCCAGCAGCUGCGAAUCAAAAGUCUUAGGAAAGAAGUUGUAUCUCAGUGGACAGAUACUUGUCAUUGUUUCCUAGAUCAUCCAGGAUUAUGGAGAAUUACGUUGCCAUUUCAUUGUAUUAGGUGUCUGUCAGGGAACAAGAAGAAGUUCUCAUUCUGAGAACAUUCUGACCUUUACGAUAAGCAGCACUCCAGGGAGCAUUUUGCGGUUGCCUCCCCUGCGCAAACGCCCUGCAGCUGACUCAGGCACCCUGCAGCUGACGGCUGACGGCUGACGGCUGACGGAUUCCCGGAGCGCACCCCUUCCCACUGAUAGUGGGAAGGCUGAUAGUUCUGCCUAUGGCCCGUCCCUGCUUCUCUUCCGGGAUUUCACCUUCCUGCCGGCGCGAACUUGCACCUUAUCAGGAGCCCAAAAGAAAAACACAGCCAACCAGCCUGUGUCUCAUCA